rnacentral:rRNA from 1 species
UACCAGCUCUCCGAGUGGUAGGGAUGAUUAUUGGGCUUAAAGCGUCCGUAGCCGGCUUAGCGAGUCUCCUGUUAAAUUCAGCGACCUAAUCGUUGAGCCGCGGGAGAUACUACUAGGCUAGGAGGCGGGAGAGGUCGACGGUACUUCUGGGGUAGGGGUGAAAUCCUAUAAUCCCGGGAGGACCACCAGUGGCGAAGGCUGUCGACUAGAACGCGCUCGACGGUGAGGGACGAAAGCUGGGGGAGCGAACCGGAUUAGAUACCCGGGUAGUCCCAGCUGUAAACGAUGCGGGCUAGGUGUUGGGGUGGCUACGUGCCACUUCAGUGCCGCAGGGAAGCCAUUAAGCCCGCCGCCUGGGGAGUACGGCCGCAAGGCUGAAACUUAAAGGAUUGGCGGGGAGCACACAAGGCUGAAGCUUGCGGUUC